GCUCCAGUGGCUUAGUGGUUUGAGCGUCCGCCUCGCACGCGGGAGGUCGCGGGUUUGAACCGUUGCCGAGUCA